rnacentral:rRNA from 1 species
GAUGAACGCUGGCGGCGUGCCUAAUACAUGCAAGUCGAGCGAACAGACGAGGAGCUUGCUCCUCUGACGUUAGCGGCGGACGGGUGAGUAACGCGUGGAUAACCUACCUAUAAGACUGGGAUAACUUCGGGAAACCGGAGCUAAUACCGGAUAAUAUAUUGAACCGCAUGGUUCAAUAGUGAAAGACGGUUUUGCUGUCACUUAUAGAUGGAUCCGCGCCGCAUUAGCUAGUUGGUAAGGUAACGGCUUACCAAGGCAACGAUGCGUAGCCGACCUGAGAGGGUGAUCGGACACACUGGAACUGAGACACGGUCCAGACUCCUACGGGAGGCAGCAGUAGGGAAUCUUCCGCAAUGGGCGAAAGCCUGACGGAGCAACGCCGCGUGAGUGAUGAAGGUCUUCGGAUCGUAAAACUCUGUUAUUAGGGAAGAACAAAUGUGUAAGUAACUAUGCACGUCUUGACGGUACCUAAUCAGAAAGCCACGGCUAACUACGUG